UUCAUGUGCAAAGACGUGUAGUUUUCAGAAAACGUGCGAAUGUAAAUUAAUACAAGAAAAAAAAAACAAAUUUAACAACGAACGAAUGAAUGUAUGAAAAUAUUAAUUAAUAAUAAGAAAAUUAGAGCAAAAAUAAAGAGUUUUCAAAAUAUGUUUUGAAAAUAUAAAGAAAAUUUUAUUCGAAUACCUUAUAUAAAGUAAAACCUAGAACGGGCUUAAGUGAUAAUAAAUAUUAAAAAAAAUAAAAUAUAAUUAAAGUGAUAAUAGUGCUGAUGUUGAUGAAAUAACUGCAAUAUGUAAAUUAAAUUGAUAAGAUUGAGAAAUAAUACAAGCAGAACGAACAGACGACAACAAAAGAAAAUACAAAUGUUUAGUUUAAAUUUAAUUUAAUUAUAUAUUGCAAAUUGUUAAAUACAAUUUAAAAAAAUAUAAAAAAUAAUACAAUUUGCACAAAACAAAAUCAAUUGCGUGGUUUGCUUAAAAGUCUAUUUGCAUUUAAAUGCAAAUCCAAUUUGUUUAAAACCGAAAGUAAUAUUUAAAACAAAAAUUAAGUUUUUAAAAGAAAAACAAAUAUAAUUGAAUAGAAAGUUAUUUGAAAAGAAUUUUAAUUAUUGUAAUUCAAACCGUUUAAAUGUAACGGUAAUUUAAUCUUUAAUACUCUUACGCCCGCAUUUUUUAUUCGAGCUUUAAACAUUAUUUUUUAUGUUUAUACUUCACAGUUUGUUUUUUUUUUUAUUUUUUAUUAUUAAAUAAAAAUAUUAAAUCUGAUGCCCAAGUGUUGUGUGCUUUAGUCAACUACCGCGCUGUCAAUUUGACAGUUGUGUAUAAAAUUAAAGUAGUGUUAAUAUAGAAAUUGAAUUGAAUUAAAAAACAAAUUCAUAACUAAGAAUUUCAAAUUUGAAAUAAAAUUUUAAGACAAAUUACGAUUUCCUGCGGAUUGCUGUUAGAAGCUGUAAAUUUUUAAAUAUUUAUUUGCUACGGGGUCGAGACCUAAUAGUUGGAAUAUAUUACAAUUUUGAGGAUAUUUUAUUUCCUUUGAUGUGCAAUCUCCAUAAUUUAAAUGAUUUCUUGAGGGUCAUCAAGGCUAUUAUAGAACUUACUUUGCAGCCGAUGUUAACCAUUUUCAAUAGGCUUCAUGUACGGUACAAUAGAAUAUCAUAGCCAUUAAAUGAAGACAUAAAAAACAACAACAACAAAAAUUCAUUCUUUAAAAAAAAAUAUGCAGAAAAUCUAAAAACAUAAAACAACAUUGACAACAAUAACAACAGUUAAGGCAACAAAAACAACUAACUAAUAAAGAAGCAAUAAAAACCAGCCAACACCUUGUUGGUGAAAAACAAACAAACAA